rnacentral:rRNA from 1 species
CACGUAGGGGGCAAGCGUUGUCCGGAUUUAUUGGGCGUAAAGAGCUCGUAGGUGGUUCGGUAAGUCGGGUGUUAAACCCCCAGGCUCAACCUGGGGACGCCACUCGAUACUGCUGUGACUUGAGUCCGGUAGGGGAGCGUGGAAUUCCUGGUGUAGCGGUGAAAUGCGCAGAGUAUCAGGAGGAACACCAGCGGCGAAGGCGGCGCUCUGGGCCGGUACUGACACUGAGGAGCGAAAGCGUGGGUAGCAAACAGG